GAUGAACGCUGGCGGCGUGCCUAAUACAUGCAAGUCGAGCGAACAGACGAGGAGCUUGCUCCUCUGACGUUAGCGGCGGACGGGUGAGUAACACGUGGAUAACCUACCUAUAAGACUGGGAUAACUUCGGGAAACCGGAGCUAAUACCGGAUAAUAUAUUGAACCGCAUGGUUCAAUAGUUAAAGACGGUUUUGCUGUCACUUAUAGAUGGAUCCGCGCCGCAUUAGCUAGUUGGUAAGGUAACGGCUUACCAAGGCAACGAUGCGUAGCCGACCUGAGAGGGUGAUCGGCCACACUGGAACUGAGACACGGUCCAGACUCCUACGGGAGGCAGCAGUAGGGAAUCUUCCGCGAUGGGCGAAAGCCUGACGGAGCAACGCCGCGUGAGUGAUGAAGGUCUUCGGAUCGUAAAACUCUGUUAUUAGGGAAGAACAAAUGUGUAAGUAACUAUGCACGUCUUGACGGUACCUAAUCAGAAAGCCACGGCUAACUACGUG
rnacentral:rRNA from 1 species